CACGUAGGGGGCAAGCGUUGUCCGGAUUUAUUGGGCGUAAAGGGCUCGUAGGCUGUUCGAUAAGUCGGGUGUGAAACCUCCAGGCUCAACCUGGAGACGCCACCCGAUACUGUCAUGACUAGAGUCCGGUAGGGGAGCGUGGAAUUCCUGGUGUAGCGGUGAAAUGCGCAGAUAUCAGGAGGAACACCAGCGGCGAAGGCGGCGCUCUGGGCCGGUACUGACGCUGAGGAGCGAAAGCGUGGGUAGCAAACAGG
rnacentral:rRNA from 1 species